GAUGAACGCUAGCGGCAGGCUUAACACAUGCAAGUCGAGGGGCAGCAUGAUCGAACUUUCGGGUUUGAUUGAUGGCGACCGGCGCAAGGGUGCGUAACGCGUGAGCAACUUGCCCUCAUCAGGGGAAUAACCGUUGGAAACGACGACUAAUACCCCAUAGCACAUAUUUAAGGCAUCUUUUAUAUGUUAAAGAAUUUCGGAUGAGGAUAGGCUCGCGUGACAUUAGCUAGAUGGCGGGUAACGGCCCACCAUGGCGACGAUGUCUAGGGGUUCUGAGAGGAAGGUCCCCCACACUGGAACUGAGACACGGUCCAGACUCCUACGGGAGGCAGCAGUGAGGAAUAUUGGUCAAUGGGCGAGAGCCUGAACCAGCCAAGUCGCGUGAGGGACACGGUACUAAGUAUUGUAAAACCUCUUUUGUCAGGGAAC
rnacentral:rRNA from 1 species